AAAGUGGUACGUGAGCUGGGUUUAAAACGUCGUGAGACAGUUUGGUCCCUAUCUGCCGUGGGCGUUGGAAGUUUGAGAGGACCUGCUCCUAGUACGAGAGGACCGGAGUGGACGAACCUCUGGUGUACCGGUUAUGACGCCAGUCGUAUCGCCGGGUAGCUAAGUGCGGACGAGAUAACCGCUGAAAGCAUCUAAGCGGGAAACUCUCCUCAAGAUAAGACUUCCCGAGGGUUUAACCCUCCUAAAGGUUCGUCGAAGACUACGACGUUGAUAGGUCGGGUGUGGAAGCAUAGUAAUAUGUUAAGCUAACCGAUACUAAUUGACCGUGAGGCUUGAUCCU
rnacentral:ncRNA from 1 species